rnacentral:rRNA from 1 species
UGAAAAAGAGAUAGCACGUUGAAGGCACCAGCUCCCCAUGGAUCACUGAAGUUAAGCAACGUUGCGCGUGUUUGGUAUCCGGAUAGGUGAGUGGGGGGGGGGGGUGUUCUGUUGUAA